ACAAUUCACCCCCCUCCCCCCUCUCGUUUAAGGCCAUAUAUUCUAACAAUAUUAGGUGGAGCUUAGUUUUAUUUUGUAAACCAUAUGCAACUAACUAGUUCAACAAGAUAUUGAUGUGAAAAUCAUUCGUCUGACUCGGUUAUAGAGGCAAAAAACUAAUUGAACCGUCUAGUAAUUGGUUCCCUUUGAAAUCACCAUUAGGAUAGUUGGAGCCCAAAAGUAAGUUAUAUUGGGUAAAGCUAAUGAUUAGAGGAAUCAAGGAUGUAAUACCCUCAAGCUAUUCCCAAACUUUAAAUAGGUAGGACAAAAUGACUAUUAUGUUACGUUAUUCUAUGGAAUCAAGAGCAUUAAGUGGACCAUUUUUUGUAAACAAAACUGGCGAUGUGUGGGAUGAACCGAAAGUUGGGUUACAAUGCCCUACUACGUGCUAAUCUAGACUCCACAAAGGGUGUUGGUCUAUUAAGACAAUAGGAUGGUGGUUAAGGAAGUAAAAAUAUGCUAAGGAAUGUGUAACAACUCACUUGAUGAAUCAACUAGCCCAAAAAUGGAUGGCGUUAAAGCACACAACCUAUAACCAAUCACUGGGUCAUGGACCAAACCCUAAUGAGUAGGAACGUGCGCUGGUCACUAAAAAACCCAAGGCAUAAAGUGGUAGUAGCAAGGAACUUUGACGGCUGAAAAGUGGAAGGUUCCAUGUGAACGAAACUUGAACAUGGGUUACUCAAUCCUAAGGGAUGAGGGAAGCUCAUUUGAUAGCGCUUUGAUGUACUGAAAGGGAAUAAAGUUAAAAUUAUUGAAUUGGGACGUUGUAACUGAUGACAAUGUUAGGGAGUAUGGUGAAGUCGGUGAGGCCCACAAAAGUGUUAUCAUUUUUGUUUAACAACUUGUCCUCCUUGGAAAUGACUAAACUAGAGGUAGGGUCCAGCGGCUAGAAGAGCACAACACGUAGUUUGGUGUUGUUCCCCCCGAUGACCCUUGAAAAUCCAAAGCACCAAGUUCCUCCCAUUCUCAAUCGUACUCAUAAUUGCAUCAAGUAUUGAAGGUGAACAACCUUUGGUU
rnacentral:ncRNA from 1 species